AUGGAUCUCAUCCACGGGAACAUGAAGCACCUAUGGGUCUUUCUCUUUGUGGUGGCAGCUCCCAGAGGUAUUCUGUCUCAGGUGCAGCUGAAGGAGUCAGGCCCAGGAGUGGUGAAGCCCUCGCAGACCCUGUCCCUCACCUAUGCUGUCUCUGGAUUCUCUCUAAGCAGCUACGCUGUAGGCUGGGUCCGCCAGACUCCCGGAAAGGGGCUGGUAUGGGUUGGUGUAAUAGAUAGUGAUGGUUGCACAUAUUAUAACCCAGCUCUGAAGUCCCGGCUCAGCAUCACCAAGGACACCUCCAAGAGCCAAGUUUAUUUACAACUGACCUCUGUGAAUCCUGAGGACACGGCCAUGUAUUACUGUGCAGGAGGCACAGUGAGGGGAAGUCAUUGUACAGAAGAGUACCUGGUGUGUGACUGGCUCUCAGAUCUCCAAGUGAAUGAAUGA